UUCAAACCAGGCACCUGGAGCCCUGCAAAGGUCUGCGCUAUGAAAAAUGUCUGGCCAGCUGUUUGAAAUGGAAUUUGCACGAAGGUUUUCCAGGAAGGACAAUAAAAGCUGAUCAUAGGCUUGCUGUGAAAUCAUCAAGAGAAUUAACCACUGAAGAUAUCUGGAAUACAGGGAUUGUCUAGGUGGUUCUCUCCCAAGUUUGGUCAAACCCAGGAGCCAGGCAAUUAGAUACUAAAAGAAGAUGGCUUAAAAUACGAAAGGAUCCAUUUGCCUAGAGGAUGCCUCACAGCAAAAGCUGCUAGCAUGUCUCAGGUUGUCUGUGGGAACAAGCACAUCAAGCAAGAAGCAGGAUGCAAGCCGGGCGUGGUGGCACACCCCUUUAA